AUGCGGCUUUGGAAUCACGCACUGGAAGCCUCACGCGCCUCUCCCCACCCCCUCCCCGGGCAGGUUGAUGGCACGCACCCCACUGGGAAAUUCCAGCCGAAAUUCCAAGGGGAUUUUUUAGGAGCCUCACACAGCGAUGCUGCCCCCGCCGUUGCAUCACGAGGGGAUUCAUCCCUUGCCUUGGAUUUCCAGGAGAAAUCCCUCCCCUCCUCCUCCUCCUCUCUCCUUUUUCCCUCCUCCUUCCCAGCUACCUGGAGAAAUCCAGGUCCUUUCCAAACCUCCGGCCCUACAACAUCCAAAGCCCGCCGCUAUCCCAAAUCUAUUCCCGAUGGGAAGAAUUCCCGCAUUUUCGGCUCGUUUUGCAACCCCCCCCCCCCCCUUUCCCCUUCCCCUCCCCCCAAAAUCACCUUUGGCGUCAGGACAUUCCCGCAGCGCCGCAGAGGGAAAAGCGCCGCUCACCUCAUGGAUUGCCGACGCUUGCCAGGGGGUCGGGCUGGGAAGAAAAGCUUGGAAUUCCCGCAGAAUUCCCGAUGGAAAAGCAGAGCAGGCGAUGCCCGAGGCGGUGGGAGCAGGAUGGUUCAAAUCCCGAUUUUUUUUUUUUUUUGGGGGGGGGGGGGGGGUUUGGUUUUUUUUUUUGUUCUGCAAAAGGCGGGAGGGAGAAAAUCCCUUCAGCUCCGCUCAGCCGCCCCAAAAUCCCCCCAAAUUGCCCCAAUUCCUCCCCUUCCCGCUUGUCCCCGGCUCCAUGGGGACUCGGGGGGGUUUGUCCUUGGAGCUGUCGCCAUGGAAAGCCCCGAAAUCCCUCCUAAGGAGGCGGGACCUGGAGCUGAUGGACACCGGAAAGAGCCAGUGGCUGCCGGGGGGACGGGAGGGGGACGGGGAUGGGAUGGGGAUGGGGAUGGGAAUGGGAAUGGGAAUGGGAAUGGGAAUGGGAAUGGGAUGGGAUGGGAUGGGAUGGGAUGGGAUCAGUGGGAUGGAAUGGGGAUGGGAUCGGUGGGAUGGGGAUGGGGAUGGGGAUGGGAUGGGAUGGGAUGGGAUGGGAUGGGAUGGGAUUGA
rnacentral:lncRNA from 1 species